CAAAGCGGCUGUAAUCUUGAUUCAGUUUUAUGGGCAAUAGAAUUAUUUUACUGAUUCCUGGAAUCAUGGCUCCUAUACAUCUGCUCUCUAUGAGCACUUUGGAAAUUAAAGGAUUGCCAGCUUUUCCACUUUGGGACAAAAAACAUUUGUGCUAAACAGCCGACUUUGAACUAACUUUAUUCUCCAACGUCAGUCAAAAUAAUUUUCUCAAUUAAGAUCUGUCAACUAAACACGCACAAAAUGACCUUCACGGGAU